rnacentral:rRNA from 1 species
CAGAUGACGACCGGCGCACGGGUGCGUAACGCGUAUAGAACCUACCUUUUACAGAGGAAUAGCCUUUAGAAAUGAAGAUUAAUGCCUCAUAGUAUUGUAGACUGGCAUCAGUUUAUAAUUAAAGAUUUAUCGGUAAAAGAUGGCUAUGCGUCCUAUUAGUUAGUUGGUAAGGUAACGGCUUACCAAGACAGCGAUAGGUAGGGGUCCUGAGAGGGAGAUCCCCCACACUGGUACUGAGACACGGACCAGACUCCUACGGGAGGCAGCAGUGAGGAAUAUUGGACAAUGGAGGAGACUCUGAUCCAGCCAUGCCGCGUGUAGGAAGAAUGCCCUAUGGGUUGUAAACUACUUUUAUACAGGAAGAAACCUUUUCACGUGUGAGAAGCUGACGGU